rnacentral:rRNA from 1 species
UGAGGAACAUGACCUUCGGCGGGGGAUAGCCGGCCCAACGGCCGGGUAAUACCGCGUACGACCACAUGGGGACAUCCCUGAGUGGUGAAAGCAGCAAUGCGCCGAUGGAGUGCCUCGCGGCCUAUCAGCUAGUUGGCGAGGUAACGGCUCACCAAGGCGACGACGGGUAGCUGGUCUGAGAGGAUGGCCAGCCACAUUGGGACUGAGACACGGCCCAGACUCUACGGGAGG